rnacentral:rRNA from 1 species
GGGGGGGAGCAAGCGUUGUUCGGAUUACUGGGCGUAAAGGGCGUCUAGGCGGUAUGGAUAGUCGGAGUGUGAAAUCCCUCGGGCUCAACCGGGGAACUGCAUUCGAAACUUCCAAACUAGAGUACGGCAGAGGUAAGCGGAAUUCUCAGUGUAGCGGUGGAAUGCGUAGAUAUUGAGAAGAACACCAGUGGCGAAGGCGGCUUACCAGGCUGAUACUGACGCUGAAGCGCGAAAGCCAGGGGAGCGAACGGGAUUAGAUACCCCGGUAGUCCUGGCCGUAAACGAUGUGCACUGGGUGUAGGAGGUAUCGACCCCUUCUGUGCCGAAGUUAACGCAUUAAGUGCACCGCCUGGGGAGUACGGGCGCAAGCCUG